ACCAGCAGCUAGCCUGACCAGGUGGGACACCAGCAGCUAGCCUGACCAGGUGGGGACACCAGCAGCUAGCCUGACCAGGGGGGGACACCAGCAGCUAGCCUGACCAGGUGAGGACACCAGCAGCUAGCCUGACCAGGUGGGGACACCAGCAGCUAGCCUGACCAGGUGGGAGAACCUGACGAAAUGGAAAGCUACUUUUGAAUUUCAUCUUGCUCGAACUCUUCUCUGAUAAUUAGUGGUUUUUCGGGCAUCGGGA